CCGCCAGACUCCUACGGGAGGCAGCAGUGGGGAAUAUUGCGCAAUGGGGGAAACCCUGAUGCAGCGACGCCGCGUGAGCGAUGAAGUAUUUCGGUAUGUAAAGCUCUAUCAGCAGGGAAGAAAAUGACGGUACCUGACUAAGAAGCCCCGGCUAACUACGUGCCAGCAGCCGCGGUAAUACGUAGGGGGCAAGCGUUAUCCGGAUUUACUGGGUGUAAAGGGAGCGCAGGCGGCGCGCCAAGUCUGAUGUGAAGCCCCGGGGCUCAACCCCGGGCAUGCAUUGGAAACUGGCGGGCUGGAGUGCCGGAGAGGUAAGCGGAAUUCCUGGUGUAGCGGUGAAAUGCGUAGAUAUUAGGAGGAACACCAGUGGCGAAGGCGGCUUACUGGACG
rnacentral:rRNA from 1 species